CCUACGGGAGGCAGCAGUGGGGAAUAUUGCACAAUGGGCGCAAGCCUGAUGCAGCAACGCCGCGUGAGGGACGACGGCCUUCGGGUUGUAAACCUCUUUUAGUAGGGAAGAAGCGAAAGUGACGGUACCUGCAGAAAAAGCACCGGCUAACUACGUGCCAGCAGCCGCGGUAAUACGUAGGGUGCAAGCGUUAUCCGGAAUUAUUGGGCGUAAAGAGCUCGUAGGCGGUUUGUCGCGUCUGCUGUGAAAACUGGAGGCUCAACCUCCAGCCUGCAGUGGGUACGGGCAAACUAGAGUGCGGUAGGGGAGAUUGGAAUUCCUGGUGUAGCGGUGGAAUGCGCAGAUAUCAGGAGGAACACCGAUGGCGAAGGCAGAUCUCUGGGCCGUAACUGACGCUGAGGAGCGAAAGCAUGGGGAGCGAACAGGAUUAGAUACCCUGGUAGUCCAUGCCGUAAACGUUGGGCGCUAGAUGUGGGGACCAUUCCACGGUUUCCGUGUCGCNGCUACGCAUAGUCGCCCGCCGUCGGGAGGUACGGCCGCCGACGGACGUAAACGUAACGUAAAGAAAGUUAGUUACGGUACGUUGAGACGCGACGACGACGACGACGGAGGAGGAG
rnacentral:rRNA from 1 species